AGAGUUUGAUCAUGGCUCAGAACGAACGCUGGCGGCGUGGAUAAGACAUGCAAGUCGAGCGACAGACCAGGAAUUGAUUACUUCGGUUUGAUUUUCCUGACGAUGAGCGGCGAACGGGUGCGUAACACGUGAGAAAUCUGCCCUUAAGUUCGGGAUAGCCCUACGAAAGUAGGAUUAAUACCGGAUAAGGCCCCGGGAGGGCAUCUUCCCUUGGCUAAAGCUCGGUUAUAGAGCGCUUUUGGAUGAUCUCGCGGUCUAUCAGCUUGUUGGUGAGGUAACGGCUCACCAAGGCUAUGACGGAUAGCUGGUCUGAGAGGAUGAUCAGCCUCACUGGAACUGAGACACGGUCCAGACACCUACGGGUGGCAGCAGUCGAGAAUCAUUCACAAUGGGCGAAAGCCUGAUGGUGCGACGCCGCGUGGGGGAUGAAGGGCUUCGGUUCGUAAACCCCUGUCAUCUGUGGGUAAGACUCCCAAUAAAAGCUUGGGAGGUUGAUAUUAGCAGAAGAGGAAGGGACGGCUAACUCUGUGCCAGCAGCCGCGGUAAUACAGAGGUCCCAAGCGUUGUUCGGAUUUACUGGGCGUAAAGAGUGCGUAGGCGGCUAGAAAAGUUUGGUGUGAAAUCUUCGGGCUUAACCCGGAAACUGCACUGAAAACUAUCUGGCUAGAGGA
rnacentral:rRNA from 1 species